ACUCGGCAAAUAGCGUUGUCUGACUGUUUAUCAAAAACAUUUCUUUGUGACUUAAUCUCAAAGUAAAGCCUGCUCCAGGAGACACACUUAAACAGCUGCAGUAAAUUUUAACUGUGCAAAGGUAGCAAAAUAGUUAGGCUAGUAAUUUUAGUCUUGGAUGAAAGGUGAAACAUGAUAGCUUCUUUCUUUUAUUUAUUUUAAGUUAUAAUUAAAGUAAAAAUACUUUAUUGGUUUAGAGGGACGACAAGACCCUGUGAAGCUUUAAAAGUUAAAUAAAGUAUUUACUGGGGCGGUAGAAGGGUUAACCCCCUUAUAAACAACUUUUGAUUAGGUUUAGGUGCUUCUUUUUUAUGAGAAUUAAGCUACUCCAGGGAUAACAGCACUAUAUUUUUAAAAGUUCUUAUUAAAAAAAUUCGUGUGUCCUCGAUGUUGAAUUAAGCAACUUUCUUUAGAAGUCUAAGGGGAGUAGAGGUCUGUUCGACCUGAGAUGUUUACAUGAUUUGAGUUCAGACCGGCGAAAGCCAGGUUAGUUUCUAUCUUCUACAAAUAGUUUUUCGGGUUAGUACGUAAGGACCACUUGAA
rnacentral:rRNA from 1 species